GUGGUCAACCAAGACUCCUAGAUCCUUUUCGCAUGUACUGCUCUCAAGCCAGGUGUCCCCCAUCUUGUAUUUGUGCCUCUCAUUUUUUUUGCCCAAGUGCAAUACUUUACAUUUCUCCCUGUUAAAAUUCAUCUUGUUUGUUUUUGCGCAGUUCUCUAAUCUGUCAAGGUCGUUUUGAAGUGUGAUCCUGUCCUCUGGGGUGUUAGCCACUCCUACCAGUUUGGUGUCAUCUGCAAAUUUGAUCAGGAUGCCCUUGAGUCCAUCAUCCAAGUCAUUGAUAAAGAUGUUGAAUAAGACCGGGCCCAAGACAGAACCCUGUGGCACCCCACUAGUCACUCUUCUCCAGGAUGAAGAGGAGCCAUUGAUGAGCACCCUUUGGGUUCGGUCAGUCAGCCAGUUACAAAUCCACUGAGUGGUAGCAUAGUCAAGACCGCAUUUUACCAGCUUCUUUACAAGAAUAUCAUGGGGCACCUUGUCAAAUGCCUUGCUGAAAUCAAGGUAGGCUACAUCCACUGCAUUCCCUUCAUCUACCAGGCUUGUAAUUCUGUCAAAAAACGAGAUCAGGUUAGUCUGACAUGACUUAUUUUUCAGAAAUCCAUGCUGACUAUUGGUGAUCACAGCAUUCCUUUCUAGGUGCUCACAGACUGUUUGCUUAAUGAUCUGCUCCAGAAUCUUCCCUGGUAUUGAUGUCAGACUGACUGGGCGGUAAUUAUUUGGGUCCUCUCUUUUCCCCUUUUUGAAAAUAGGGACAACAUUUGCCCUCCUCCAGUCUGCCAGGACUUCGCCUGUUCUCCAGGAAUUCUCAAAGAUGACUGCCAGUGGUUCUGAGAUCACAUCUGCCACUUCUUUUAAUACUCUUGGGUGCAGUUCAUCUGGCCCUGGAGACUUGAAUACAUCUAAACUAGCCAAGUAUUCUUGUACUAUCUCCUUAGUUAUUCUGGGCUGUGUUUCCUCUGCUGAAUCAUUUGCUCCAAAUUCUUCAGGUCGGGCAUUGUUUUCUUUAUCGGAGAAGACUGAGGCAAAGAAGGCAUUGAGGAGUUCAGCCUUUUCUGUGUCCCCUGUUUGCAUUUCACCAUCUUCUCCUCUGAGUGACCCCACUGUUUCUUUGUUCUUCCUUUUGCUACGGACAUACCCAUAAAAGCCUUUUUGGUUGCUUUUAACCUCUCUAGCAAGCCUGAGUUCAUUCUGUGCUUUAGCUUUUCUGACUUUGUGUCUACACGUGCUGGCUAUUUGUUUGAAUUCCUCUUUGGUGGUUUCCCCCUUUUCCAUUUUUUGUACACAUCCUUUUUUAAUCUUAACUCAGUUAAAAGUUCUUUACAUAGCCACCCUGGCUUCUUUAGGCACCUUCCAUGUUUCCGUCUCAUUGGUAUUGCCUGAAGUUGUGCUUUUACUAUCUCCCUCUUAACAAACUCCCAGCCAUCAUGAACUCCCUUUCCUUUUAGUAUUACUGUCCAUGGGAUCUCAACCAGCACUUCCCUAAGUUUUAUGAAGUCGGCUUUCUUAAAGUCAAGAAAUUGAGUCCUAGUAUGCUUGGCUGCUCCUUUCUGCUGUAUAGUAAACUUCAGAAGAGCAUGAUCACUCGCGCCUAAUGAUCCUUCCACUUCUACCCCACUAACCAGGUCAUCAGCAUUGGUUAGGACCAGAUCUAAAAUGGCUGUUCCUCUUGUUGUUUCUUCCACUUUCUGGACAACGAAGUUGUCUGCAAGGCCAGUGAGGAAUCUGUUUGACCUUAUGCUCUUGGCUGAGUUUGACAUCCAACAAAUAUCCGGGUAAUUGAAGUCCCCCAUUACUACUAUCUCCCUUCCUUUUGCAUGCUUGGCCAUCUGUUCCAGGAAGGCAUCAUCUAUGUCCUCCGUUUGGCUUGGGGAUCUAUAGUAAACUCCCACAAUGAGGUCACUGUUAUUCUUCUCUCCCUUAAUUUGGACCCAAAUGCUCUCACUUUGGCUUUGAGGUUCUAAAUCUUGGAUCUCUUCACAGGUAUACACAUCCCUGACAUAUAACGCCACUCCUCCUCCUUUCUUGUCUGGUCUGUUUCUCUGAAAUAGACUGUAUCCCUCCAUUAUUAUCCCAAAGGUCAUCUAGUCCAACCCCCUGCAAUGCAGGAAUCUCAGCUAUCAUGCCCGGUGGUUAUGGAAGUGUUGUGGAAUAGAAAGAUGCAGUCUCUGCUUUAGGGUCCAAGACUCCACAGGGCCUUUGCAGAACCACUAGUGAUUUCUUAGCCAACUGUGCUGUCCCAAUGAGGCCCAUGAAAUCCAAUAUGAUGUAGUGGAUAAAGCAGGGAUGGCUGACCACUGGCCCUGGUACCAGAUAAGCCACCCAAAAAAACAGCCCCUCCCAAGACCCAUACAUUUUGCUGGUGAUAGUAUUGCAAAAAUAGCAUUCAAUACAGGCAGCAAGAUAGAGAAGUUUAAACUUCUUCACCCUGUUCAGGGUCCCCAUAGGGAGGUCAACUGAGCACUCACCUGAGUUUUGCAGAGACAUAAUGAACCUUCCUUUUCAGCUGUGUUCUUUGUGAGGGUGGGCAAGACUAUGAGGUGGCCACACAACAGUGGUGUGGAGCCCCCAAUGGUUAGCCUCAGGCCAAAAAAAGGUUGGCCACCUCUGGGAUAGGGAAACAAGGGUUCAAAUCUCAUUUCUUCCAUGAAACUCAUAGAGGGACCUCAGCCUAGCCUGCCUCACAGUGCUGUUGUUUAUGUCGGGAGUGAGCAUGGCAAGGUUGAGCUGAAGGAAUGGGUUUCUGUGCAGUCAGUUUAAAACUGACCCUUUUCUUCUUAGCCUGACGUGGUUGGAUUCCUGGGGAAGGAGAGAGAGGGUGCCUGGAGUAUAAACUACAUGUAUAAACUACAUGAAACCUGUCAUUUCUUUGGACUUGCUGUGGACUCACCAUGCAAGUGCCUUCUGCUAUCCGGAGAGCAGAAUAAACUCUUUCUUUGAACCAACCUCGGUGUCAUUUGACUUCCUUCCUCCUGUCCCAGAGCAACGCAGACCCAAUUGGUGAACUCCAAUAAGGCUACAGAGCCAUUGUGGGGAAAGAUGAGGUCUGAGGAGAGAGCUGAAGACAGAGUGGUGGCAGCCCACAGCUGCUCUCAAAGAGAGGCCUGACCAUAAUGGAGAGCAAAAUAGAGUGGGUAGAGAGUCAUUUGAUGGAGCAACUCCAACGCUACAAUUUUGUGAUUCUAUGACUAUAAAAACUAAACCAAAGCAAACCAAGGCUGGCAUGGAAUAUUGCAUUCAGAAGAAUAUAUUUUUUUUCUGACAAAGCUAGUUUUCAGGAUAUUUGUGAUGAGAUGCAGACAGGUAAAAGGGAUGUGGGUGGUGCUGUAAGUUAAACCAUAGAGCCUAGGACUUGCCGAUCAGAAGGUUGGCGGUUCGAAUCCCCGCGAUGGGGUGAGCUCCCAUUGCUCGGUCCCUGCUCCUGCCAACCUAGCAGUUCGAAAGCACAUCAAAGUGCAAGUAGAUAAAUAGGUACCGCUCUGGCGGAAACGGCAUUUCCAUGUGCUGCUCUGGUUCGCCAGAAGUGGCUUAGUCAUGCUGGCCACAUGACCCAGAAGCUGUACGCCAGCUCCCUCGGCCAAUAAAGCGAGAUGAGCGCUGCAACCCCAGAGUCGGCCACGACUGGACUUAUCCGUCAGGGGUCCCUUUACCUUUACCAACAGGUAAAUGGAGAGUGCCAUAAUAAGAAAUGGUAAUGAACGGUGUGGUGCACCUCACUUGCAAAAUAUCUCUGGGGCACAAGCCUGGGCAAUGUGCCUGGAAGUCCUGGGCUGCCCGGAUGACAAGACCCGCCUCAUGGCUUCACUGAUGGGGUCCAAAGGAAAGCAGAGCAAGACGUUUGGCUGCAGGAAGGAGAUGUACAAGCAGGAGUAUAGGAAAGUGGGGUAGGGGUCCGCCCCGGGUGCCACCAUGGAGGGGGGGUGACAAAUUAUCAAGGAACAAUUACUGCCCUACUAGGGCGGUUCAUUAAAAAAAACUUUAAAAAAAAAAUGCCUGCUCCAAAGGUCUUAUCUUACUACACUAGGGAUUAUAUAGCUAUAUGUGAAAGUUCAUGCAUAUCAGUUAAUAUCUUGACCCUCCUCCACAAAAAUAGCUGUUUACUUGGCCGUUUCCCUAUAUCGUGAAGGCUGAAAUUUCAAUUCAGUGGAGCAGGGUCAAAAAAAAGUUUUUUAUGACCCGUCCUACUGCCCCACCCUCCGCUUGGCUUCCCAGGUCCUGGAAAGUCGGCCUAGGUGAAGAAAAUGAGACGCCGCCGAGUAGACUAGGCCUUGCCUUGCCUUCGCCCCCUCCCGCCUGCAGCCGAUUUCUUCCCCUAGGCCGACUUUCUGGGCUGCUGAGGCGGCCUGCCAAGGCCGCUGCCUGUCCUGCGCACCCCAUUUGGGCCCAAACCCCUCUCCAAAAAACCUUUGCUGCACCCAAAAGUGGAGCGUGUGGGACAAUGGCAGUGCUGCCGCCCUGUUUUGCCCGCGUGUGGCGCCGGGAGGAGCAGCUUGGCAGGCCGGCCUCCCCUUUGCCCCCAGCCUCCCCUGCGUGAAGCUAGGACCCCCCCCCCCCCAAAAAAAGCAGUUGUGUAAUUAAAAGAAGUUGAGAAAAAGCAGCAAAGCUAUUCUGUGGCUAAUUGACCAAUUAGGGUCUAUUAAUGAAGUUCACACUUUUGACAACCAGUCUGAUGCUUUUGCAGAAAAAUAUUCCUGUACAGCAAACUGUACAUUCCCACCCCUCUCCCCAAAGCUGGAUUUUAUUUACUUUUGUGUGCUGGUGUAUCUGUGUCUCCCUUGUAUCUAUUAGGGACUAUUCUCUCCUUUCCUUUGAUAUCUAUGCUACUGAUUACUUCUGCCGUUUUAAUUUUAGAGAAAGUUUUUAAUUUUAAAAGGAUCUGUACUAUAGAAUAACAGUGGUAACAAUACAUUGAAGACAAGUAAAUCUUUUGGGGAAGGUGGUCCCAGAGCCCUAGAGCCCCCACCCCAAAGAGGAUCAAAUGGGCGGACUUUGGCACUCUUUUGUCCCGUCCUCCCCCAAGGUCUUUCUCUCUAUCUGAGCUGGAUCCCUGCCUGUUACGUUACAUGCGGGGAAACUGCAUGUAAAGUCUUUAAGUUGUUCCUGCGCGCGCCUGGCAAAUCUGCCCCAUUGUCAAAAUUUAUUUUCCCCACCACCUCCAGUCUCCGUUGUUGUGUGUCCUGGCUGAGGGGGAAAACAAAAGACGGAUGGUCAUCGGUCAGGGAUGGUCUAGUUGAGAUUCCUUCAUUGCCCCAGGGGUUUGGCUAGAUGACCCGCAGGGGUCCCUUCCAACUCUACAAUUCUCUGGAUGCAAGGGGUGCAUAGGAUUGCAGCCCAUCUUAUGCACCGCCGGCUCGGGAAUAAGUCCCACUGAUCAUGAUCAGACUAGAUUGCUGCUGUGCAGUCCUGUUUUUGAAAUAAACCUUUUCCUUUUCAGAUAAUACAGAGCAUGGUGAAAUCACAAUAAAUAAACCCUCCCCUUCAGUAGUUUCAAGCACUACUACUGGUUCCACAUAACAUCUGUACUGCAUUGUUUACUGUGACAGCACCUGCACUUUGGAACUCCCCGCCUACAUGCCUUUGCUAGACUCUUUUCAGGCACCUGCUAAAAGCAUUAUUCUUUAGGCAAGCAUACCUAGAUGCUUAGGAAGUAGAAGCAAUUUUAAUCUUAAUAUUUUAGCUUUUGUAUGUUUUAAAGUAGGAUUGUUAAUUUUUCUUGAUUUUACUGCUGUGUUUUUUUUUCUUUUUUCUUUUGGUAAACCACUUUGCAGGUUUUUUUAAAUACAUUUUAUUAAAUAAAUAAACAAUAAAUAUAAAUAAAAUAACACAAGCCAAAACACAAUCCAUCCUGUAGAUUUAAGUAUCUGUCCAUAGUCGCCUACUUGUUAUCAGAGGCCCAGAAUCCACAUUCCUUUGUAAGAAAACAUGAAAUAAUGUAAAACCAUUUUUGCAGGCAAUUUUUUUUUUAAAAAAAUCAAUGUGUAUGUGUAUGUGUGGGGGGGGGGGUGACAAGAAAUUUUCCGCACCAGGUACCACCUGACCUUCCUCUGUGUACAAGGAGCCAUCCCACUGUCUUAGGGACUCCGCUCUGGAUUUGUAUAGGGUUUAUUUAAGGAGUAAUGCCUUUUCUUCUGCCGAAAAUAUCCCACAAGGCAGCAGAGGUUUAAGAUCAGAGUUUUCCUUCUCCUAGAGGACUACUUUCCCAGGUGGAUGAGUCCCAUCUGCCCCUCACUUCCCUCUGCAGGACAUACAGAAACCCCCGUUGGACCCACUAUUGGUUUGAUCCACUCCAUCCGCCAGAGCCUGUCUUCACAUGCAGGGGAAAUACACUCUGGAUUUCUGCAGGGUUUACUCUUUAGCCUUUUCUUCUCCGGAAGAUGUCCUGCAAGGCAGUGGCUACUGCUUUUUCCUCAGGGUUUACUCCCAGAGCCUUUCUUAUGAAUGAGUGUAGCCGCAAGGCAGUGGAGGUUUAGAACAAGAGUUUUCCCUCUCCAAAAUCGGCCACCUUCCCAGGAUGAUACAGAAACAUAAACCUAUGACUGAAACCAUGAGAGGCUCAAGGAGUACCAAGGGGGGGGGGAGGGGCUCUGGUUGUUGGGAUACUGCCAGGGAGACAAAGGCCAUCAUGGUUCCACGUCGCCUCCGGACGAUCCAUCGAUCUCCCGUAGAUACAGUAUCAGUCAAUUAGCGACACGAAGCCUCAGAAAUAGCUUGCCACAUUCCAGAGCUCGUGCACGCUCUAUCAGCAGAGUUCGCACAACGAAAGAUGCACUCAAGAGAGCAUAUUAUUCAGCGUUGGUCAGAACAAAGAAAAAACAUGACUGCCUGCUUCAAUGUCUCAGGCACAGAGAGAAAAUGAAAGCAUAUACAAAAGAGAAACUUCCUGUGAACAGGAAAUACGCAGACUCUGUGACUCACAAAGCCUGCUCCCUUUUAAGGUGGAACGGAAAUAUCCUAACACUGAUUACAUCAAGAAAAAUGUUCAGCCAAUUAGAUGUAACUCACCUCAAAUUUCUUGAGAGACUUGUGGAAGAGAGAAAUGUAUUUUUGUUUAUGUAUUCAAUAAAAUCCCAACAAACAGAGACAAAAAUGGUCACCUUUGUUUUUCCUUUCAAAAUAUGGGUGCAGCAGGUGAGCUUUUCAUAUAAUGCAAUUUUCUCUAUAUUACUCCACCAUAAUGAAUUUGAAUAGAUUUGUGGAAUCCUGUGUUGAAGCCAUCUGAGUUGGUGGCCAUUGUGGCUUUUUGUGGGCGCUGUCUCCAUAGUUUAACUAUACACUGUGUGAAUAAUUAUCUUUUGUCUGUCUGUCCUGAAUUUUCCAAAUUUCAACAUCAUUGAAUUUUCCUGGGUUUGAAUAUCAUGAGAAAGAGACUUUCUCUCUCUCCUCAAUGUAUAAUCUUUUGCACCUCUAUCACGUCCCCUCCUUAUUUUCCUACUAUGAUAGCACAGGGCAUUUUGACUGACUGGCUCAGGAUAUUCUGGGGUAUUAAGGACAAAGAGAUAGGGUGAAGACAGGGCUGUGGAAGGCUUUGAAAAUAACAGCACAGAACUGGUGCUUUAGUCAUCUUUGUGCUAAAAAUUACAUUUUUGUAACACCAAGACUAGAUGGUGCGGUGUGUGCCUUAAUGCAACACAGCAUUGCUAUAUAAUCAAGAUGUCACAGCAUCAUAAUGUUGCAUGCUGGCUGAGAGCUCUCUCUCUCUCUCUCUCUCUCUCUCUCUCUCUCUCACACACACACACACACACACACACAGUGCCAUUUCAUGAUGGUGAAAGAAUGACAAGGAAAGCCAUGUGUUUGGUUUGUUUUCCCCAUAAUGUUAAUUCAAUUAUUUCUGCUUCAAUGAAUGAAGAAUUUGUUUAAAGAAGUACCAGUGAUCCCGCCCGCCUUAUCAUGUUUCCAGGCGGGCUUUGGAUCUUCAGCAGCAAUAGAAAGGCUCUGCAUUGAUGCUCAGAUACACUACAUUGCUCCGCCUAUUCCAGGGCUAAGCACUGAAAACAGGUUCCAGAAUUAAGCCCUGAGAAGACCAUAGAUGACCUGAAAUUUCUUCAUGGAACUUUCUAACCCCCAAGUGAAGGCUUUGGGGAGAGCAAAAAGUUUCAUGAAAUUGACUCCCGUUCUCUCUGUUGCCACCCAUACUUGCUUUAUGGUGCAGGCAGCAGCAGUUCCACUUCUAGAAGUCCUGUUGCCUUGUGGAAAAGACCUUUCUUUCUUUCUUUCUUUCUUUCUUUCUUUCUUUCUUUCUUUCCUUCUUUCCUUCUUUCUCUCUUUCUCUCUUUCUCUCUUUCUAUCUCUCUUUCUUUCUUUCUCUCUCUCUCUCUUUCUUUCUUUCUUUCCUUCCUUGAAAGGCUCGAGAGUCAGGGGUGUAGGAAGGGGGGUGCGGCCCACCUCAGGUGUCAUCCUUGAGGGGUGUGACAAAAUGGAACACCAUGGGGGCCUGGCCUGCAGCGUGCCUGAGCCACGCGUCUCUCCUGGGAGUAACGUGGUGGCUUGGGUCCCCGCACUGCCCGAAACGGCAGCAUGGGGCUUGUGUCUGCCAGGCAGACUCCAUGGGCAGCUCACCGCACCGUCCCCUGGGGUGGAUCGCUGCAGUGCCCUGUGCCCAGAUUGCCGCGGCACCCCUGUGGGAGGAUCGCCCCACCCCCGCCGCUCCGGAUGCCAGAGCAGCUAGCUACACCCCUGUCCAGAGUGAAGGCACAACGCAUUGCCAUCUCUCUGACUUGGUUUCAUGACACUUAGUUUACUGCCCUUGCUCUCACUUGACUUCAUGACAAUUCCAUGAUGCAUCCAGAGUGAAGGCAAUACUCCCUGCUUUUACUUGGGAUAUUUUCAAGUAAAAGAAAGGAAGAAGGGCUCCUUCUUCAAGGCUCCAGCAGGGCUCCUGAUGCUAUGUUUGCAUGAUACUGCCCUCUCUGCCAACAUGCCCCUCCUCCUCCCCAUAAGCAGCAGUGACUCACCUGAUGGGAGGUCAGGAAAGUGCCUCCAUCCCCCAUGCCAGGGGUGUACAACCUGUGGCCUUCCAGAUGUUUCUGGACUACACCUCCUAUUAGCCACAGCCAGCAUAGCUGUGAUGGCCUGGGAUUCGGAUUCGGAUGCUGAACCUGAGGAAUCCCAGCCUGCACAGGAUUCCCUGCCUCCAGAACCAGCAGACCCGGGGCUGGGGCAUGAGCCUGAAGGCUCCUCACCUGUGCUGGAUCCUCAGGUGCAGGCACCAGCUGAGUCUGCUCUGGCUCCUGAGGGGGUGGAGGACCCAUUGCCUGCAGGUGCUCCACUCUCAGCCCCAUCAGGGGAAGCUGAGGUUGCCUCUGGGUCCGGUAACCCUCCAGCUUCUCCCGAGCUGCAGAGGCUCAGGGCAGAGAGGCGGAGGGAACUAAGUUCCCGCAGGAGGAGUGCUCACCUCCAGGCCAGGAGAGGCGAGUCACCUGAGGAUCAGGGCCGCCCUGUGCCUCGGGGCAGAUAAAAGCCAGCCAGCCUCAGUCCCAAGUUGCGGGAGCAAUUUCGUUGGUUGUCAGUUCCUGCCUGAACCCUGUCCUGCUAUCCUGCUGGAGCUCCUGACCUCACCCGCCUACCUGCCCUGCAUCCAGCUUCAACUUCUUUGUACUGUCUCCUUACUGCACCUUUGACCUCGGACUGGACUUGGACCUCGCCUCUUGGUUAGCCCACGGGACCAGCACAAUAGCCAUUGAUCAGGAAGGUGGGAGGUGUAGUCCAGAAACAUCUGGAGGGCCACAGGUUGUGCACCCUUGCCCCAUGUCACCAACAACUGGAAAAAAGGCCACCAGGAACUGAAUGUGUGCUCACUGCCACUCUAAAUCUUGCUCGUUUUGUUCAUGCCCCUCCAAAAUUGCCCCAAUGCCAACCUGACUUUGUGUCAUGCAAAGAUGCACCAAAUUUGUAUGUGUGCAUGUGUGUGUGUGUGUGUGUGUGUGUGUGUGUGUGCAUGCAGAUGCAUUGGGGCUGGGUGGGGGUUUCAGCUCUGCUCUAGAUAAGACCUUCUCCAGACUGAGCCAUGGCUUUGGUGGCAAUGUGCUGUGGGUAUAACCUCACUUGGCGUUUAUGUCUGUGCCAUGAGAUUUCAUUCAUUAAUGCUUUGUGAAGUCUGCUGUGAUUGUUGAAUGGGGAUUGCUAUGUAGAGAAUGGUUAGAGGGCUGGAGAACCCUGCUUGCUGCAGGAGAGAGAAUUCAUCUCCGUCUUUUUAGUUUACCGGAUAAGAAGGUGAAGAGGUGACUUAAUGAUGCCUCAUCAGGGCCUUCCCAGGGAAGAAGAGUAUUGGGGACUAAAGAGCAAUUUCAUCCAGAAGAGUGGAGAGAGGCAGAACAGAAGCUGAGAUCAGCAUGGCACUGACGUCUCUUGACAAAUUCAAGGAAGGAAGGAAGGGCUAAGGAUGAUUCAUUGUUUUGGAACACUUUCCCAUGCCUGGGAUGGGCUGGCAAGGUUUAUUUUCUUCUCUUUUACAUUGCAGUUCUCAGCCUUCUAAAGAUGUAAUUCAUGGAUUGGACUGAGGGCAUAAUAAGUGAUGAACAUUGCACCAGGAGUUUCUGGUGCAGGCAGCAAUUGCAUCAUGGAAUCGUAGAGUUGGGAAUGACCCCAAGAGUCAUCUAGUCCAACCCCCUGCAAUCCAGGAAUCUCAGCUAAAGUCUCCAUGACAGACGGCCAUCCAGCCUCUGCUUAAAAGCCUCCCAAUGACUGUUAGCUCCUUCUCCCUUAGUCUCAGUAUUACCUUGUGGAAUUCAACAGGGAGUAGGGGGACAAAAGCAGAAGUAGUUGGCUCUGCCUGUCAUUGGCUCUGGCCCCACCCCAUUGGACUCCCUGCCUCCCACCCUACCAGUCCAAAUGGGCACCAGCCAACACUCCAUGGCACUUUACAAAAAAAUGAGAGGAUACAUCUCUGCCCUGAGGGACAAGAGAGACAUGAGAGAGAAGCAGAGGCAGAAGAGAAUCUACUGCUGCUGACCUCUUGGUCAUAUCCUCAGAACCCAAUAUGGCAAAGAAAAAACCCCAUUGAUUGUUAGUAUCAUAUUUUUAUUGUAUUGUAUGUUGAAAACUUUCAAUAAAAAAUCAGAUAAAAUGAAAGAAACUCACUAAGCCUGAGUUCUCUUUCUUUGUCUUUCUGGACCGUAUUUUGAAAUAUUAGACCCUUAGUCAGAAAUUGAAAUAAGCCAAUGGAAUUGCUCAUUGCUAGGUCUGGAACUUUUUGUCAACUGUGUAUAAAGUCUCCAAGCUGAUGCCAUCUGCCUGGGAACUGGAGUUGGCGUAUUCUCUUGGUGCCAAGAAGGUUCAUUCAAGCUGUGUUUCCAUUUAUACCCUCCCUCUCCCUCUUCUUCUUCUUCACUUUCAAUACAUAUUUGAUUAUAUAAAGGCUUUGGUUGACAUUGGUAAGUACACUUGCAAUGGUGGUUCUCUUGUGUUCUUUCAAAUACAGUGGAAUAAUUUUUUAAAAAGCUUAUGAAGUCUUUGCCCCUCCUCCCAGUUGCUCAAUUUUCAGGCAUCACUGAAACCUGGUGGGAUAAGUCCCACGAUUGGAAUGUAAUAAUGGGGGGAUACAAUCUAUUUCAGAGAAACAGACCAGACAAGAAAGGAGGAGGAGUGGCGUUAUAUGUCAGGGAUGUGUAUACCUGUGAAGAGAUCCAAGAUUUAGAACCUCAAAGCCAAAGUGAGAGCAUUUGGGUCAAAAUUAAGGGAGAGAAGAAUAAGAGUGACCUCAUUGUGGGAGUUUACUAUAGAUCCCCAAGCCAAACGGAGGACAUAGAUGAUGCCUUCCUGGAACAGAUGGCCAAGCAUGCAAAAGGAAGGGAGAUAGUAGUAAUGGGGGACUUCAAUUACCCGGAUAUUUGUUGGAUGUCAAACUCAGCCAAGAGCAUAAGGUCAAACAGAUUCCUCACUGGCCUUGCAGACAACUUCAUUGUCCAGAAAGUGGGAGAAGCAACAAGAGGAACAGCCAUUUUAGAUCUGGUCCUAACCAAUGUUGAUGACCUGGUUAGUGGGGUAGAAGUGGAAGGAUCAUUAGGCGCGAGUGAUCAUGCUCUUCUGAAGUUUACUAUACAGCGGAAAGGAGCAGCCAAGCAUACUAGGACUCAAUUUCUUGACUUUAAGAAAGCUGACUUCAUAAAACUUAGGGAAGUGCUGGGUGAGAUCCCAUGGACAGUAAUACUAAAAGGAAAGGGAGUUCAUGAUGGCUGGGAGUUUGUUAAGAGAGAGAUAGUAAAAGCACAACGUCAGGCAAUACCAAUGAGACGGAAACAUGGAAGGUGCCUAAAGAAGCCAGGGUGGCUAUCUAAAGAACUUUUAACUGAGUUAAGAUUUAAAAAGGAUGUGUACAAAAAUGGAAAAGGGGGAAACCACCAAAGAGGAAUUCAAACAAAUAGCCAGCACGUGUAGACACAAAGUCAGAAAAGCUAAAGCACAGAAUGAACUCAGGCUUGCUAGAGAGGUUAAAAGCAACAAAAAAGGCUUUCAUGGGUAUGUUCGUAGCAAAAGGAAGAACAAAGAAACAGUGGGGUCACUCAGAGGAGAAGAUGGUGAAAUGCAAACAGGGGACACAGAAAGGGCUGAACUCCUCAAUGCCUUCUUUGCCUCAGUCUUCUCCGAUAAAGAAAACAAUGCCCGACCUGAAGAAUUUGGAGCAAAUGAUUCAGCAAAGGAAACACAGCCCAGAAUAACUAAGGAGAUAGUACAAGAAUACUUGGCUAGUUUAGAUGUAUUCAAGUCUCCAGGGCCAGAUGAACUGCAUCCAAGAGUAUUAAAAGAAGUGGCAGAUGUGAUCUCAGAACCACUGGCAGUCAUCUUUGAGAAUUCCUGGAGAACAGGUGAAGUCCCGGCAGACUGGAGGAGGGCAAAUGUUGUCCCUAUUUUCAAAAAGGGGGAAAGAGAGGACCCAAAUAAUUACCGCCCAGUCAGUCUGACAUCAAUACCAGGGAAGAUUCUGGAGUGGAUCAUUAAGCAAACAGUCUGUGAGCACCUAGAAAGGAAUGCUGUGAUCACCAAUAGUCAGCAUGGAUUUCUGAAAAAUAAGUCAUGUCAGACUAACCUGAUCUCGUUUUUUGACAGAAUUACAAGCCUGGUAGAUGAAGGGAACGCAGUGGAUGUAGCCUACCUUGAUUUCAGCAAGGCAUUUGACAAGGUGCCUCACGAUAUCCUUGUAAAGAAGCUGGUAAAAUGUGGUCUUGACUAUGCUUCCACUCAGUGGAUUUGUAACUGGCUGACUGACCGAACCCAAAGGGUGCUCAUCAAUGGUUCCUCUUCAUCCUGGAGAAGAGUGACUAGUGGGGUGCCACAGGGUUCUGUCUUGGGCCCGGUCUUAUUCAACAUCUUUAUCAACGACUUGGAUGAUGGACUCAAGGGCAUCCUGAUCAAAUUUGCAGAUGACACCAAACUGGGAGGGGUGGCUAACACCCCAGAGGACAGGAUCACACUUCAAAACGACCUUGACAGAUUAGAGAACUGGGCCAAAACAAACAAGAUGAACUUUAACAGGGAGAAAUGUAAAGUAUUGCACUUGGGCAAAAAAAAAUGAGAGGCACAAAUACAAGAUGGGUGACACCUGGCUUGAGAGCAGUACAUGUGAAAAGGAUCUAGGAGUCUUGGUUGACCACAAACUUGACAUGAGCCAACAGUGUGACGCGGCAGCUAAAAAGCCAAUGCAAUUCUGGGCUGCAUCAAUAGGAGUAUAGCAUCUAGAUCAAGGGAAGUAAUAGUGCCACUGUAUUCUGCUCUGGUCAGACCUCACCUGGAGUACUGUGUCCAGUUCUGGGCACCACAGUUCAAGAAGGACACUGACAAACUGGAACGUGUCCAGAGGAGGGCAACCAAAAUGGUCAAAGGCCUGGAAACGAUGCCUUAGGAGGAACAGCUAAGAGAGCUGGGCAUGUUUAGCCUGGAGAAGAGGAGGUUAAGGGGUGAUAUGAUAGCCAUGUUCAAAUAUAUAAAAGGAUGUCACAUAGGGUAGGGAGAAAGGUUGUUUUCUGCUGCUCCAGAGAAGCGGACACGGAGCAAUGGAUCCAAACUACAAGAAAGAAGAUUCCACCUAAACAUUAGGAAGAACUUCCUGACAGUAAGAGCUGUUUGACAGUGGAAUUUGCUGCCAAGGAGUGUGGUGGAGUCUCCUUCUUUGGAGGUCUUUAAGCAGAGGCUUGACAACCAUAUGUCAGGAGUGCUCUGAUGGUGUUUCCUGCUUGGCAGGGGGUUGGACUCGAUGGCCCUUGUGGUCUCUUCCAACUCUAUGAUUCUAUGAUUCUAUGAUUCUAAAGCCAGGAGCAAAAGCCUCCAUCAUAUCUGUGUUAUAAGGAGCAAUUGUUCAGACCAGGCUGCAAUCUGGAGGCAUCUUACCGCCUUACUAAGGCUAAGAAGGUCAGGUUCUGGUGAAUAGCUGUGUGCAUGAUCACCAGGGAAUCCUCAUGCACACUGCCUUUUGUUGAAUGAAGAAAGAUGGCAUAUAAAUUAAUAAUAAAAUAAAUAAAUAUAUGACAUAUAUAAAAAAUAAAUUACAUAAGUAUAGUAUGGAUAUCAAAGAAGCCUUUAUAGCUGUGCUGAAAUUCUCCCCAUUGGACAGGUUUCUCUGCACCAUAGCAGGGAUGGAGAAACUGUGUCGCUCCAGGACUCACUGGGCAUAAUAAGUGAUGAACACUGCCCAGGAGUUUCUGGUGCAGGCAGCAAUAGAAUCGUGGAAUCGUAGAGUAAUGGCUCCCUGGCCAUUACUCAUGCUGCCUGAGGCUGAUGGCAGUUGGAGACGAACAACUUCUGGGUUCCCCACUCCUGCACUAUAGGGAAGACCCUUAUACUGACCCAUUGCUUCAUUGAGCUGGCUGGCCCUUGCCCACACUGGCUGGCAGCACAUCUCCAGGGGUUCAAGCAAGGGAUUUUCCCAGUUAUUUCCAGAGAAGCUAGCAUUUGAUCCUUUUGCAUGUAGAGUCAUACCUUGGGUUACAGACGCUUCACGUUGCGCAAUUUCGGGUUGUGCACUGCGCCGAACCUGGAAGUACCGGAACAGCUUAAUUCUGGGUUUCGGCACUUGCACAUGUGCAGAAGCGCUGAAUCAGGACCCACGCAUGUGCAGAGGGUUGCGAACGCUGCGGGUUAUGAACGUGCUUCCCACACGGAUCACGUUUGCAACCUGAGCGUCCACAAAUAUACAGAUAUAUACUGUUGGUAUGAAAUAAGAAGAAACAGAGUUUACUUAAUCUUUUAGUUCCUCUUGUUUAUUGGAAUGUUGUCAUCUGUGCCUACAUGUGCAUUCAUUAAACAUUCCUAAAAUAAAUGCAAUCUUGUUUAAUAUAUAUGGAUAUUUUUAUGCUGAAAAUUCCUUCCAUGGUUCCCCACCACCACCACCAUUGCCCAUCAAUUAACACACAAAUAGAGACCGAAUCUGAGAAGCAUUCAAGAGGUUUUUAAAGUGAAAUUCUUACGGAUAGGGUUCAGGGCUUCUGUUGUGCUUACCUUAUCUUUAAGGUGGUGAAAGGAUUUUGUGAAUGUCCUUCCUUUCAUUCUACAAAUCAUCUGAUGCAGCCUUCCCAAGUGCCCUCACUUCUUGGAAUUCUUCAGAUGGGCUUUCAAGUGUGGGAAGCCCAUUAUGGUCCUGUCAGCUGCACUCCUGAUCAGUAAACACACUGAUCUCAGGCACUUGGUAGACUACCUUCAUGGCCCCUGUCAAAGUCCAGGGGAAGAUGUCCCAAUGCAACUCCUCUCAUGGAGCUUUUUUAAAAUCAGGAAGUGGGGGAGAAAUGUUUAAUGGAAAGAACACACAGCUGUGAGCCACCUCAUGGUGAGAAGGUAAGCUCAGCCAUGUACCCACUGAAAUUAUAAAGAAACAAUCUCUGCAUAAAAGAAUUUACAGAACAAUGCAAAAGUGAAGUGCUGGGUGAGAUGUCACUUCUGCUUGUCAACAUGCUGGUGGGGAUUUCAGUGUGCCAACUCAAGCCUGGUGAAGUUAAUGGGCCCCAUUCUGGAGGGGACUAUGGAUUCAGCAGAUCCAAUAUUUCCUCUGACACAUAGUGUUCUGUUUUGGGGGCUAUUGCCAGCAGAAACAACACAAGUGGUAUAUAUUUUGGGGCUCUCAAUACAGGAGUACAACAAGGUGCUGUUCCAUCCUAACAUCCUCCAUCCAGUGAAUCUGAGGGUUAGGAUUUCUCUGCUAAUCAUUCCACUGCAUUGCAAUUUUCUCAGCCUCUUUCCACCAAUGAUCCUGCUACUGACUUUGCUUCAAUUGCUUUCAUUCCAUGCAGCUUUAAUCACAGCUUUCCAACUCAAGAGUGAUCCAAGAAGGCUUGCAGUUUUAUUUUGUUUGGGUGGAGAAAUGCCAUCUUCGAGAAUGCUUGCAUUAAAAUUGCUGCUACCUCCCUUGUCUACUUCAUUACAGCUGUAAUCUCUUAAAAUUCUAAUUGUGAUGACAUUUUCUCCUCAGCACAUGAUUGGAAAGCAAAGGAGAGGAUCACACCCACUGCACCCCUAGAAGCCAAUCAGCUUGCAUCCUGACACGAUCUUCCUUGGGUAAGUGGGGGUUCUUCUCUUAGCACAUGAGACUAGAUGAAACAUGGAAAGCUCCACUGUAUGUUACCUCGUUCAUGGUGUGGACUUGUCUGCAUUAAUCAAAGCGAGGGCAUUGUAUCUGUUCUAGGCAAAUGUGGUGCCUGCCAGGUGGACUCCAUCUCCCCUCAGCCUUGGCCAUUGAGCCGGGGGUGGUGAGAGCUGCAUUUCACCAGUACCUGAUGGACUUCACGUUGGCUACCCCUAAUCCAGGCUUGGGUCAUUUACUUUGGUUUUUACUGGAUCCUGGGAUCUACUAGACAUAGCCAGGUGCAAAACAGUGGCUGAAGUGGGCAUCCUUUCUGUUGUGUGUUCAGGAUCAUAUGUGCUCACGAUGGUAUUGAGGCAAUUAUGUGUGGUCCCACUUUCAGUACAGUGGAUUCAGGGUGGUCUUCCUGCUUCAUUUCCAAUCAGAGCAUAUAUAUCCCAGAACUUUCUAUAACUUUUCAUGCCCCAAAUGUUCUAGUCUGGGGUGUGUGUGUUGUCCCAUUUUUACUGUGUUAUAUUGCAAAAGUGACCCUUCAAACAGCAAUAACUCAACAACAUUGUAGAAGUAUUGCAUAACAACUAAUAAAUCAGAAUGAUGUGUGGAUGGUCCAGGGGAUGGACCAUAAAUUCAUGGCCAUUACGUCUAUGACUUGUUGCAGAAUACAGCUGCAAAAGAAUACCACCAGUUUUGAGGCUCUCUGAGCAGAUGUACCUCUGACCAUAGGCCUCUGUACCUCUGACCAGGAAUAGGUGGUCGGUACGAGAACCAAGCUCACAAGCCUUUUCAAACAAAUAUUACUUCUGGUUCCCACCCACCUGCACCUGGUUAUGCAAGACUUUGACUAGGGGUGGUUUCUCAAUGUCUGAGAAAUGGAAAAGGGGAGUGAAGUGCACGUUAAAAGACAUUUUGUUGUGUUGUUGUUGUUUUUAUUUUGAUUAUGUAUUUUGUGGUUUUAUAUUCUGAUUUUAUUCUGUGAACCACCCUGAGACCUCCAUGUAUAGGGCAGUAUAUAAUUUCAAUAAAUAAUAAAUAAAUAAAUACUUUUGAACUGUACCACAGGGCUGUUUGUCUGGUCAUAUUAUUGAAUGUUCCACACAAAAAAGUCUCUGAAUGUGGUAAACAAACACAUCUGGCAGAUGAUUAUACUGAACCUCCCCCCCCACUCUGAUGUGUUAAUUUGCCAUAUACAGUGGUCCCUGUAGUUACGAACUUAAUUCGUUCCGGAGGUCCAUUCUUAACCUGAACCUGUUCUAAACUAGAGGCAUGCUUUCGCUAAUGGGGCCUCUUGCUGCCGCUGCACCACCGGCACACAAUUUCCCUUCUCAUCUUGGGGCAAAGUUCUCAACUCAAGGUAACUCUUCCAGGUUAGUGGAGUUUGUAACCUGAAGCGUUUGUAACCUGAGGCGUUUGUAACUUGAGGUACCACUGUACGGGGAGUUCUUUCUGGGUAAGUGCAUUCAAAAUAUGACCACGGUCCAGCAUUCUGCUACUUCAUUCUACAUAACGUGGUUGUGGUCCAAAUUUGUGGCAGAAUGCAAUGGUAGUUGACUAGUAUGCAGCAUUCUGGAGCAGAUUCUCCCAGGUGCUGGAGGACUACAACUCCCCCUGUCCCAUGCCAUUGGCAGGGCUGGUUGCAGGUGAUGUGGGUUGUAGUCUAGCAAUGUUUGGGGACCCAAUGGGAGGAGAUGCUGUUUUCAAGCAAAGACAGGGAAGUCCAUUGUCAAAUGCUUCCCUGCACUGAAAACAUGUAGAAAACUAGCUCACUAGAGGGAUGUUGAGGCAACAACUUUUCAGUGUGCUAUGUCUUUGCCUGCAGGGAAAUUUUAGUGGAGAUUUUAAUUUGAUGGACAUUAGGAAUGUUAUCACCCCACCUGGGGUCAGAAAUGUACCAUCUAUUGGACCAGAAUGUUUCAUUUUCAACCCUGCAGUGAUUGAGGGCAGGAAUCAGAGAUUCAAUCUAAGGUUUUUUGGGGGGGGGCCUGUGGCACUCCAGGUGUUGCUUUAGUCCCCAUCACUUGCAUCCACAUAGCCCAGCAACUUCUGAGAGGCCACAGGCUCUCAUCUUGUGAUUGUUGUAAUGGAAGUACCGGUAGAUAAUGUUUGCAGGAGCUUUCCAAUGAAAAUUUGCAGUGGACCUUGGUUGGCUCUGGUUAUGUAUGUUGCCUUUUCAGCAAAGGCGGUGUUAAGCGGGUGAAGGAUAGACCUUGUGUGUAUUCCUCUCUCCUCUGCCAAUUGAGUGUGGCUUGGUGUCUCCUUGUGCCAUUCUGCAGGGGGCAAUGGGAGUCGGAGGCUUCCUUUCUCAACAGGAACAACAAAGUGAGCCCUCUCACUGCUGAGCUGUGCAAGAUGUCUCUGUUACAGUCACACACACACACACACACACACACACACAAUUUUUUUGCUCCCAGCCUCUCUUUUCUUCUUCCAGCCUCUCUCUUCCCAGGACAGUCAAAGGAGACAAGAGCAGGUUGUGGUUUGUACAGUACAUACCAAAUCCUAGACUAAAAUCUGUGAACUGUCAGCUUGAUGCAGGUGGUGUGUGAGACAGCAAACAUCAGAGCUGACUGGGCUUAGGCAAUUUCUCAGCAUGACAGCUCUCUGGAGGGAACAAAGGGAUCUUUCAAUGCAGAACAAAAUUUAGUUCCUUAAUGAAAAACAUCAGGAUGAUUCAAGCAUCCCCUCCACAGCAAGUUGGGGGCUAAGGCUGGGAAGUCAUACUGGAGCACGACUCAUCUGGUUUAUGUUAGCAAAAGGUGCUGUGAUCUCUGGCUAUGUUAGAAGCAGAGAAAUGUAGUUAUUAGUGUUCCCAGUGGGAGCCUCUAGGAAUGUCCUGCACCAAAUCUCAUUCCAAAAAGUAUCAUUGAUUCUGUCCUAGGGUCAGAGGAAAGGCAAUGUCCUAGUUCUGUUCCUAUUGCAGUGAAGAAGAAGAAAGCAGUAUGGGGACUUUGAAGGAUGAACCAGCAGAAACAACUCUCACACGUGAUGUAUUUUAGUCCUUGCGCCAUGUUCUCCCUUCCUACAGGCUAGGCAGGCUUAAUAUGCUUCGUGUGCAAGUAUAAUGGGCAGGCUACUUUAUGAUUUGCAGCGCACAUUCUAUCUGUUUGGAUAGGGCUGAGAGGAGAACCACUGGCAUCAGGGUAACGAUGGAGGAGAAAUUUGGUCCCAAACUGGUUCGUGGAUCAGAACGCAUCUCACAUUUGGGCUACACCCUUCUCCGGAUUUUGUUGUGCAGUUUUGGGGCACAGAAGUGACACACCAAAAUAUGUGUUGUUGUUUUAAAAAUUGGUAUGAACUGUGAACAAAUGGGCUGAAAAGUACUGAUAAAUUAAUAUUUUUCAUUAAAAGUGCACACAGCAUGUACCGUUAAAAUUCUUCACCAACGUGGGAUGGAGUUGAUGUAGGAUUGACUGCAGGGCCGUCUGUACCCCGGGGGUGCAAGGGAUGCAGUGCACCCGUGCGCUGAAUUCCGGCGGGCGCCAAAUGUAUUCUGGGGGAUGCCAAAUGUAUACCUCCUGUAUACUGGUCCCUCUUGAUCAGUGGCAGUGAAAAGCAAUGGAGUGAAAGUCCCCACCCCCUCCUCCAUCGCUCUGUUACUUCGCAGUGUCAAAUAUUCGAAACGAGUCAGGAAACAAAAGCAGUUAUUUCCAUUGCGUCAUUGUUACAUUGUUACAGGUGAGCGAUUUUCUUUCCCCCUUCCCAAAAAAGCUCAACAACCUUGGCUUUUCCCCUCCCCCAAAAAAGCUCAACAACUUUGAUUGAGUUGCCCCCCCCCACAAAAAUUCUGGGGACGGCUAAACUAAAUUUGGGGAUGCUGGGCGGAUCUUUGCACCCUGGUGGUGCAUAUGCUAAAGACAGCCCUGAUUGACUGUAGCUGAAACUGAAAUGGGACAGAAUGAGACUGCUCAGUCCAUCUCUGUGGUGGAACAGAGUUUCCUGUAACAUAUGUUGUGAACCGCCCUGAGAUCUGCGGAUAAAGGGCAGUAUACACAUUUAAUAAAUAAAAAUAUGUGGUUGGGAAACCUCAGGCCCAGCAGCCAAACGUGGCCCUCUAAGCCUCUCUGUUUGGCCCUAAGGAGUCUCCCCCACCCCACCUUAUCUGAAGCCACACCUCUUCUUCCCCAGGCCACACCCCUUCCUGACCCUGCUUUGCACUUUCCUUGGGUGUUUCUACCUGGCUACAGGGCAUCCUUGAACUCCGAUAAACCUGAACUCUACUUGCAUAUCUGGAUGGGGGGGGAGGGGGGAGUGUGUGUCAAGAGGCCUACUGAGAAAUUUACUUUCUUGUUCCACGCACUUUUGCCUGUGACCCCACCCACCAGCACCAUAUACUCCCCAGAAAGAUGCCCAUAAAGGAAUGCAGCUGUCUGCUGAAAAAAAUCCCCCCUCCCAGCUCUAGCAGCAGCAGUGAUAGACAAAGCCAUGAUUAGGAACACACUUUGGUGAACCCAUUCUCCCCACUUCAAAGGUGACCACAUGAUCCCCUCCCUCUGCCCAUUUCAGGUUGGUUCAGCUGAGCAAUUAUGACUGGCCCAAAUUCACCCAGAGAGCUUCAUUCAGAAACAACAAAUUCAACGUUUUCUUGAAUCAUAGGUGAUAUACUAAUAAUCACACUAAUGGGGGCUUUCUGACCAAUCCUUCAAAGAAAAUAUUUUAACACCCUUCUCCCAAAACUGAGCAUGCUCAAUAGUCAAAGAGUGGAAACCACAAAACCAAGCAGAGGGGAGGUCUCUUGAAUGCCUUAAAGGUAAAGGGACCAUUAGGUCCAGUCGUGUCUGACUCUGGGUUGCGGCGCUCAUCUCGCUUUAUUGGCCAAGGGAGCCGGUGUAUAGCUUCCAGGUCAUGUGGCCAGCAUGACUAAGCCGCUUCUGGCGAACCAGAGCAGCACAUGGAAACACCAUUUACCUUCCCGCCGGAGCGGUACCUAUUUAUCUACUUGCACUUUGAGUGCUUUCGAACUGCUAGGUUGGCAGGAGCAGGGACUGAGCAGUGGGAGCUCACCCCAUCACGGGGAUUCGAACUGCCGGUUUUCUGACCAGCAAGUCCUAGGCUCUGUGAUUUAACCCAUGGCGCCACCCGCGUCCCCUUGAAUGCGUUAGCCUCCACUAAAUUGCACUUAAGCCCAACCCAGAGUGAUUCUGGAAUGCCUUAGAUGAGAGAAAAAACAUUUGGAAUUUUGGGGAAAGAAUAUAGACGAAAUACAUGGUGGCAUUUUUGCAAGUGACAAGAGCUGGUCACUUAUAUAAAUAUUUGCAUAACUUAAUGUAACUUACGUUAAAUAGCAGACAGCGAGACAAAGAGUGUAGCAUCUGGCAGAAACUGAAUGGCAACAGAAUGGAAACAGCACCAAUUAGGAUUAAUACAGGUUGGAAUGGAAAUUGCUCCCUUUCUGCAAUAUUCUUCAUUCCCAAAAUGAAGAGGGAAUGUGUACAACUUGCCACAUUAAUUGCAUGUAGAACUAGUCAUUCUCCAGUAUGGCUAUAAAAGAGAAAAGUACAGACCAGUAGGCAGGGCAGUCUUAAGCAUAUCUGGUGCUGUGGUGCAAAGAUCCCUAUGGCCCCCCCAUUCCCCAGGGUUGUCGACCUUUUUUAAGGGGGGGGGGACCCAAAAGUUGUUGACCUUUUUUUUAGGGAGCUGACACCACGCUUACACAUUAUAUCUAACAACCCCUUAGAACAAAUGAAAAUAAAAUGAAAUAAAAUGAAAAGGCAGAAGAAAAUCUAAUGAAGUCCUCCAUUCCAAAGCAAGACUCAUUCAAGACUCAGCAGUUCUUCUAAUUCAUCCUCAUGAUUCAAAUCACCACAUAUCAAAAAGUUAAAGCAAUCACCAGUUUGUUGUUCUUUAAAUAAAUUAAUAAAGGCACAGAGAAUGAAGUUCCCGGCCAAUUGGUGUUUAAGUACGAAGCUGACAUUUUCAAAUAUUGUGGGGGGUGGGAGUGGGGGUAAAGCAGUGACAUCCUGAACCUAAAAAGGACCCAAAACUUGGGUCACAAAGGCUGCAGCCCUAACUGCACUUACCUGAGAGUAAGCCCUGCUGAAUCUAAUAGGGCCUUACUUCUGAGUAGACAGUAGCAAGACUGCAGCAAGAAACACAGUUGGGAAUUAGGGCUGUUUUAAGUCUCAGCCAGAGGAAAAUAUAAUAUUGGAGAUUAGGGAGAAAGAAAUAUGAAUAGAUUGGGGGGAGGGGGCUGACGAGAGACCAAAAACCACAGGUAGCAAGAUAAGGCACACUUUCUGGGGAGCAAGUCUCACACACAGUUGCUUGGGGCGAGGACUGCAGAGGGACCAUAGUUGUGCGUGUGUGUGUUUUUCAGAAAAACGUAAAAUUGGAAGGGACCCUGCAGGUCAUCUAGCCCAACUCGCUGCAAUGCUUUUUAGCUUGCAUUGAUCUCAGAAACCUUCAGUGCCUUUUUUUUAGUUGGAUAGGCAAUUAACAGGCUUGUUUCACAAAUAAGGGAGAAGGAGGGUUGCUGGCUUGGUUUGGUUUGCUUUUGUUCUAGUUUCUAGCAUGUGCUUAAUACCGUAGUUUCAGGCUGUGAGCCACCCUGAUAUCUAUGGGGGAGGGCAGUAGUAGUAGUAAUGGUGAUGAUAUUUUUCGCAGGGCUUGCAGUGAGUGGGUGAUGGCCAGCUGCUGGAAUGAAUGGGGUUGGUGCUAAAUGGUCUGGCUUGCUUUACAACCCCUGGGGACCCUGUUGGGAGGGCGGAGAAGGAGCCCACCCCCCAGGAAGAAGAAGAAGAAGAAGAAGAAGAAGAAGAAAGAAGAAGAAGAAGAAGAAGAAGAGGAGCAGAAAUGGGAGGAGGCUUCCUUCCCGGGAUAGAGUUGCCUGUAACAUUAAACACAGGGCACGAAUCCAGGAGAGAAAGAAACCAGGGCAGCAGCUGCUGCUACUCAUGGCUGGGGCUCAAUGUAGCUGAACAGGACGGGCAAGGGGACCCUGCAAGUAGGGCUGCAAACCCAGCUAGGAGGCUCCAUAGCCAGAGGAAGAAAGGGGGCGAGUGGGGGGGCCCCUCUCUUCUUCUUCUUCUUCUUCUUCUUCUCCUCCUCCUCCUCCUCCUCCUUCUCCUUCUCCUUCUCCUCCUCCUCCUCCUCCUCCUCCUUCUCCUUCUUCUUCUCCUUCCUUCCUUCCUUCCUUCCUCCUCCUCGCACUCCGCUUCCCCCUCACAAAUCACCCGCCCCCCUCUUCCCACAGGGCAGGCAGGAGAGAGAGAGAGAGAGAGAGAGAGCGCUGCAGGCCAGCCAGCCAUAUACCGGUAGUUGCUGGGGUGCAGCUUCCAUCCUAAGCCCCUGCAGGGAUCGUUCUCCUCCUGCGGAGGAUUGGGAGGCAAGCUGCACACCAGCCAGCCAUAUGGUUGCGAGGCGCAGCUGGCGGGUGCAAGGAAAGGGGAGUCGGCCGGCAAAGCCGCGCAGCUCCCCCACUUUCUGGGGUGUCCCUGAGAGGCCGGCACCCUGGCGCAAGGCGUCAGUAAGCCCAAUAGGAAAGACGCCUCUGCCAGUAGGUUCUUUCAAGAGAUUACAUCAGUAGUCCUAAUAUGGUUGGAGAUGGUGCUCUGAUGGGAUUGUUUUGAAUGAAAAUGACGUAACUCUACUGACGAGUGAGCCAAUCGUGAUAGGGUUGGAUUUAGCCAGGACGCUCACAGAACAGCUUUAUAGAGGAGCACCUCUUGAUCUGCUGGUGUUCUCAUGGAUAUAUCCUUCCCAUCAUUUUUCAUGCCCAUGACACAUUCUGCAGCUAUAAUCAGCAUGAUGGAGUGUGUUUGAUGCGCAGACGCCAUAGGGAAGAGGACUAAUGAUCGCCAAUCAUCUUAGCACUUCAUCAUCAGAACAUUAACAGAUAGUGGGUUCCUGGGAUUGUCAUUCAGCCGGUGUGUGUUUGCCAAUUCCAGGUCAAGCCAUCCUUUUGCCAUCCCAUCCCAUAACUCAGACAUGACUGGCAGUGAGGUGAGCUGGUGGAAAGGGAUGCUUGAGGAAUUCAUUCUUGGUAAAACUUGAAAACUGACUUGUUGCAGCUCCCAGAAUGAUGCAUGGAACAAAAUGUAGUUUUCUGCAUUCUGGAAAUGUUGCAAAAUGGCUCAAAAUGUGUAUAAAACAUCAUUUUGGUAUAUGGUUAUGGAAUGGAAUAGAAUUAUGAAUGCAUGCAUGUGAAACUGACAUACUGUUGGUCAGAAACAGACUGAUCCAUCUAUAGGUGGAUUGUUGCAAUCUGCAUGUUUGUGGUCAGAAAUGGAAAUCAGUCAAGCAAAUAGGAGUAGUAUUUGUUCAAUAGCUCUUGUUGUUUUGAAGUCCAUGAACAAUAUGUAAUUAAUAUUGGCGGUUUGGUGUUUUUUUUACUAGCUUUGAGGUUUCCUUUACAUUGAAAUGAAAGCAAGUUACAUAAAUAGUUGUGCAGCUUAAGGUACAUUGAAUAGUGGGCAAUGAGACAAACAGUGUAGCAUUUGGCAGAAACAGAACUGCAGAAGAAUGGAAAAAGCACUAAUUGCAAUUAAUACAGGUUGAAGUGGAAAUUGCUCCCUUCCUGAGCUGCAAAGUUUUGAGAGGGUCACCUGUCUGAUUUCCUAAAGACAAUAUUUCCACUGUUCCGUUCCUUUUUCUUUCAUGGGUUUGCACUUGAAUGCUGGUUUAUUUUGCUGGUGGCUAUUAGAAACAGAAUGCCGGACAGGGCUCUCCAUAUGUCUUUUCUGAGUUACUCCUCCCUCACUGACCACUUUGCUUUGGAGGGGUGGACAGAAGCCCAUAAGUAAUGUUCUUCCUGGCUCAGCUCAGUCUGGACCUGCUCUCCUUUCUUCACUAAAGCUGCUUACAUGAGGUUUAGGUACUUGCUGCCAUUAACCUUAAAGGCCAGGAUUCUCAGCAUGGCUAUGCACCAGAUGAGGCUGAACUUUGAGCCAAAUGGGGCAUAUUGAGAUGGACACAGGUAUAGGCCGCCAUAGACUGCUGAAGCAGGGCUUGCCAUUUUAAGGGGUGUGUGAAACUUAAUUUUUGCUGAAGGCUGAGUUGGAUGGCUCAGAACAAGCCACUGGGCAUGAAGGAGAGACUGGCAUGGGGCAGGAUACCCUGUGAAAAGGCCCAAACCUACCCUGACCACUGGCUAUGUCUUCCCAAGAGAAAGGAUGAGCUUGCAGCUUGACUCCUCUUCCUGCCUAGGUCCAUCCCUCUAGCAGUGCUCCUGCCUAGCGAUGCCAGAAUCCACUGGCUGUUGUCAAAGAAAUUUCACGUGGCAGACUAUGCAUAAAAGUAUAUUGGAUUCUGCAUUUUGGCCAAUGACUCUCUGAUUCUCAUGGUGUCAGAGACCACUCUCUCAGGUGUCUGAAUAUGAUGGAUCUAUGCAGUUUUGUUUUAUUUCCGCAGCUCUGUGAAAACAUCGGACAGUGGUAUUUCUGCCGGGGGUGGGGCUCAUAUAUAUCCCCAAAAUGGGGCAUUUCAUGGGCAGAGAGAUAGUUGGGAGGGAAUCAAACUUGGCUAACCAAAGAUCCAAAAAACAGAAUGGGGAGGAAUUGGAGGGAGGGAGGAAGCAAGUGUAAAGGGGAGAGAGCAAUGACAUUUCCAUGCUCUCAGCAGGGUAGGCUCAUAUUUGGAAAGCGCUCUCUCCCCUCUCCUCUCCUGCCAGGUGCGGCAGACUUUGAAAAUGCCUUCACUCACACACACAGCCCCCCAUGCCCCCCCAGGUCUUCCCCUCUGCAAAGGGGCAGAAGAUGGGGAGCCAAGCUACUCUGAAAGGGCCCUGGGCAAAACUGCAGCCAGGCCAGGCAAAAAACGGCAAGUUAGCUGCAGGCCCAUUGCUCCUUUAAGAGCAGCUUAAAUUGGGACGCCUCCUAGCAAAGGGGAAAAACAUGACAGCUUAAUUGGUGGUCCUGGAAAUUCAGGGCAGUUGGAGAGUAUAAGAUCAGUGCUUUUUAAAAAAAAAAAAAGUUUAGGGGUACUCUCAUUUUCCUACUCAUAUUGAAAUACUGUCCCUCAAUGAGGCCAAACUUAGAUGCACAAAAUGUUUAGGGGUAUGCGUCCUCCUGCAUCCCCCCAGAAAAAAAGCACAGUUUGUAAUACACAUCAUUUACACAUUCAUUGACAUGUAAUGACUGGUGUCCUAAACAGGAGCCUCUUCCCUUUUCUUUAUUCCGAAGUAUCCUUCAUUGUUUCUGAGUGCAUAUAACUUGUCAGUUGGGAGCAGAAGUCUAUAUGCAAAACAGCUAAUGAAUUGAGUGGGAUUUGCUUCUGAGUAGGCCUGAAGAUUGCAGCCAGAAAUGGCUUUGUAAGGCACCAUUAGACACUUUAACUUUGCCUUUAAGGUUCCUGGAGUCUCUUUGUUGUUUGUGCUGCAAAAGACUAACAGAGCUGCCCCUCUGGAAUUUCAUUAACAUUGAAAGGGAGCACACAGGGAAGGUAAUUGAUUUGUAAAUAUCUGUGGAUGGAGGAGAUAUGCAUGUCUGUUGGGUGCUACAAUUGUGCAAAAUAAAGCAAUUACACUGGGAGGGAAAAUACCAGUGAAUGGAGGUUGUAAUUUUGCAAGGAUCCUGAGCGUUAGCUGUUAGCAUUCCCAAGCCCAGCGCCCUCACAGAACUAGAAUUCUCAAGAUUCCCUGGUGAGAAAGAACUCCUUUUAAAGCAGCCUGGUCUGUAUGGGAGACAUGCCUUCCACUGCUGAAAUGAAGGAAAAGAUCAAAUGGAGAAAGGAAAGGAGGAAAAGAGAGAUGAAGAACUCUAUUUGCCCCCUCAAGGGAGAGAGGAAGGGCUAAUUUAUAGAAACAUGUCUAUCCAGGAAUGGACUGUCACUGAAUAGGUCAGCACUCUGCUGGAGAGCACAUAAGAGAAGUGGUCAGGUGCAGAGAACAGCACUUCUGCCAAUAACUUCAUUUUCUGAGCGCUCUGCUCAGAGAUAAAUGAGAGAGACAACUCCUGGCCUUAUCAGAGGCAGGGCACAGACCAAGUUACCACCUUAAGGUGGAGUUUGAAGACUUAGCUUUUUGCUUUGUUGGCGGGGGGGGCGGGGCGGGGGGGCGGAAUGUGAACAGUGGGAGAUUUUUAUUUAUUUUAUAAGUUUCGCCCCCAUAACAAUAUAGCAGAAGUUUAGAAGUCAUUUCCAUAUUAUUUGCUACUUGCACAGUGUUCCACUAUAGUUCUAGAAGUGUCUGUUACAUCGUGUGAAAUCUCAAAUAUAACAUGAAAAUUAACAGUUAGGGAAAUGUCAUUAAAAUGGAAUUAACUGCCCUGUGGAUACAACCAUUAUUUAUUCAUUUACUAAUUACUCUCCACAAGGCAUCCUGAAUUGCCCUACAAUAUGCUCACCUAUAUAAAAACUGUUGAAACAACUGUUCACACACACAUGUGAUAUUGAACCUGGGACUUUUGCACCGGGAUGUCAAGUGUGGGGUUAGAGCCCUACUCUUUCCAACCAUGUGAUUGUAAUUGUUGCAGUCGCAAUGCCUGAAGGGGUCUUGGGUGCCCCCCAAGGGAAGAGUUUUUAUAACUAAGACUGAAAACAAUCCAUUUCCUCCAUCUCUUCUAUCAAUUGGGCAAUAAACUUCCAUCUCGGGAAGGGGAAGGUUGUUACCUUGUUCACUGUUCAGCCCAGUGUGUCAGUUUAAUGUUAAACAGGGGGAAGAGCUGGCAUAGAAAGGAGCGCAAGAGGAGCCCCAUGGCCGCUGAUUUGUUUUGGCUUAGGCUCUGAUUCUUUAUGGCUAAUUACUCCCUGACACUCAUAACAAGUGGGGGAGGGUGGGGUUUUUUUACCCCCUCCCCUUUUCUUUUAAUUACCUCCUGUGAAUUAUUCAGGGUGAUAUGACUCUUGGAAGGAAAAAUGAAAAGCAACCUGAGAUAAUUACUCCUACAGGGCUGUUUCCGGUUUUCUCUAAAUAAGGAGAUGCACAUUGAAUAGGGAGAGAAUCCUUGUUAGUGCAAGAAGAGCAGGUGUGUGGUCGAAAUCUGCUUGUCCCCCGGGAUAUUUAUGCAGCCUUCAGCACAGGCUGGAGCUGAUGGGAUUUCUAGUCCAAACAUCUGGAGGGUAUCGGUUUGGUGAAGGCUACCUUAAGGGAUCUUGCAGAUCCGACAGAGGUGUACACAGUUAUGACUGGUGUAGUUGAAGAAGUGGUUGGAGAGACUUUUCUUCCUCCCUCUCUCUUAAUACGAGGAUGAGGAUGAUGUGAAAUAUUUUUUUGAUUCAGUUCACAUCUAAAGGUGAAUCACCCAAAUUCACAGCGAGUGGAUGAACAGAAACUCAGCCAUGUCAUUUAGCAAUUCAGUUCUCCAGCCAUGUCAUUUAGCAAUUCAGUUCUCCAGCCAAGAGAUCUUUGCAAAAAUGCAUGUGCUGAGGUAAAGCAUGCACUAACAUGUGUGUGUUGGUAAAAAAUAACAUAAAAAUGCACUUUAUUAGAGGAAAAUGCUUUGCAAGAAUGCCCAUAUUAAGCAACAUCAAAUUUAAAAAAUGUGUGUGAGAGAAAUUUGCACCCAAAUACUGAUGAAUUUUCAUGAGGAUUUUUUAAAAUGCAAACUGAUGUGGAAAUGUGGAGAACUCAAUUUGAGAUUGAAAAUAAUGAGAUGCUGAGAGAAAACAAAACUGCCAGAUUCCUAAAAUUCAGGAUCACCUAGGGAAGCUGCCUGUUGAUUCAGGACACAGGAAAGAAAGUCCUUCUUCACACAGCACCAUGACGGAAACCAGAGCGCAUGGAAACGCCAUUUACCUUCCCGCCACAGUGGUACCUAUUUAUCUACUUGCACUGGUGUGCUUUCAAACUGGUAGGCUGGCAGGAGCUGGGACAGAGCAGUGGGAGCUCACUCCAUUGCGGGGAUUCGAACCGCCAAUCUUCCGAUCAGCAAGCCCAAGAUGCUCAGUGGUUUAGACCACAGCACCAUCCACAUCCCGACUAAAGUCUGCAACUCCCUCACACAGGAGGCAGGGAUGGCCACCAACCUAGAGGACUUUUAGAGGAUUGGACCAAUUCAUGGAGGAGAGGAUUAUUGCUGGCCACCAGCCACAAUGGCUGCCCGAAGCAGAAUGCCUCUGAAUACCGGUUUGUGGAAAUCACAAAUGUGGCAUUCAGGUCCCCCUGGUGGGCUUCCUACAAGCAUCUGGUAGGCCACUGUGAGAACAGGAUGCUGGACUAGAUGGGCCUCAGGACUUGUCUUAUGUUUCUCACAGUAGCAGCUUAUCCGAAUGGCUCUCAGAUAUGGUGAUGUCAGCAGUGUCUGGUAUGAACAUCUCAGCAGUUUGGAGCUCAUUAGCAGAUCAUGUCUCCUGUUCUGCCACAGUAAAGGUGUGUCUAUAUUAUUCCGCACAGCAGGUUUUCCCUGGUGCAGAUACCUGUAUGAAUUAUGUAUUGGUUUUAUUUACUGCUUUUUAUGUCCCAGUUUUCCUCAUAACGUAACUCCUGAGAGCUCCUGUUCCCAUACAAACACAUAAAAUAUUCUCCCUACAGGUACAAACACAAACACACUGCCUUCCAAGACUUAACAGAUGGGAAAUAGGGGUCAGUGGUAACACCCCAGUUCUCAUGCUCAGGAUCAUUUCGGGAGCCUCACCUCCUCCACCAGGACCCAUUUGUCCUCCUCAUCCAUUCCCCUCUGUUCAUCACUCCAUGGGUGGAGAGCAGAGGAGGACUGUUCUUGGGGGAAGAGCUGCAGCUUAAUGGUGAAGCAUCUGCCUUGGCUGCAGAAGAACUCAGGUCCAAUCCUUAUUAGUUAAAUCCUCUUUCUGAAACCCCAGAGAGCCACUGCCCAUUGGUGAAACUGAAAUCCAGACAUCACCACAAUUAGCACUAUUAAAUAUAUGAGAUGGCACUCUGUAACUAUUAUCUUUGAAGGAACUGCUAACUUGGUUUGUAGUAGCUGCCAGGAUUUCUAUUGCACAAAAAUGGAAGAACUUUAAUUAUCUGUCUCUUGAGUGCUGGUAUAAGAAAUGGAACCUCACAAUUGCUGAAAAGAUAGACCACAAGAUUCAUACAAUGAAAGACAUAAAACUAGCAGAACAAAUUCAUGCAAUCUGAUGUCACUGAAACACAGUUGUCAUUCAAAAUUCACCCUCCUUCAAAUUUUGCAAUGGAGUUCUCCAACCCAAAAACGUGUACAAAAAUGUAAUUUUAUGGGAAAGUGUGCAUGCAAAUUCAUCUGUUGGUGAAAAUAAGCAGGAAAAAAUGCAUUCAUUUUAUUAUUGAUUUAUUAACAAAGAAGUGCAAGCAUAACACACCAAAACAAAGAGUCAAAAUACAAAAGUUCCCUUUAAAAAUAAUAAACUAUUAAAACUAAAAGUAUUCUCUACCUGUAACUUCCAUUAUUCUUGAGAAUAUAGAUUCUAUAUAGUCUUAAAUGAGCCAGAUAUUUGCAUAUUCCAAUAGUGGUGAGUGACCAUGCAAAAACACAUUAUAUUAGGGGGCAUUGCUUGGGAAAACAUUGAGCCAAGUUGCAGCCACAAAUGUAUUAGAAAUGCACUCUAAACUGCCAAUGAAUUUUCGUGAAAAUGCACAGCUCUUUUUUUAACUCAUACAGAUGUGGAAAUGUGGUAAACUGCAUUUAAUAAUGGGAAAACGAGAAACUGGGAGAAGAAGAAACUGGCAGAUUUGCUCAUCACAGUUUGCACCUACAGAUGUGAGGGCAAUAUACUUUUAAUGUGUGGUGGCAGCCGCAGGGUAUGUGACUGUGUGGCAAAGAUCUGUUGGCAAACAUGUGUCCUGUUCCAGCAAUUUCAUCAGCUACUGUGACUCCUCACAGAGCAAAUUACUUGGUAGCAAAUUUGCUGCUGCAUAAUCUUUGCAUCCAUCCUAAGAUACAUCCCAGCAGGAUGUGUAACAGUAAAUUUGCUCACCUUGCUGAGGGUCUCUGACCUUUGUUUUGCAGAUAGCCUCCUUUCUAGUUACAGAUCUUCUACCUUUGCAUCGCAGGGACUCCCAGACUUUUUAGCUCAGGGAAUCCAGCAAUGGAGCUGGGCUUUGUUCUGGAAUGAAGCUUUCAGUUUGAAUUUCAAAUUUGCAUGGGAAACCUGCCAUCUAUUUGACUUUAAAAAUUGUGAGCAAAGCUGUUGCUUGACUUCUGGGAAGAGUUUCAUCCUCUUCAGCCUUUUACAAAUGGAAGGAAGGGCCACCAGAGAGGGCUAGGGUGGCGUAGUGGUUCGAGUGUCAGAGUAGGACCUGCGAGAGAAAGCAGGGUUCAAAUCCUCACUUCAGUCAUGAAAUUCACCUUGGGCCAGUCACUGCCUCUGUCAGCCUAACCUACCUCACAGGGUUGUUGUGAGGACAAAAUGGAGAAGCGGCUGCCCACUUGUCAAUCACCUGACUGCACAAUGACAUUGAGUUGUGGGGUGCUUUGCGGUCCCCACAAUCACCAGAACCUCAAAACACCACACGGGGCUUGCAAGGAGUCCUGGAUGGUGCUCUGGAGUGCCGCUGAUUAGCUGGUUGCUGACACUCCGAAGUGCAGAGCAGGACUCUUUGCAAGGAGCAGGGGUCCUGUGGAGACCUCUGCUUGGCUCUUUGCAAGUCCUGCCAGGGAUCAGCUGGCUGUGGAGUCCCCUGUGGAACUGUCAGCUGAUCUGCACAAACUCUCAGAUCCUUUUUCUGCUGGGAUCAGCUGUGCUUUGGAGUUCCCCAUGGCAAACUCAGUACAUUGUGCAACCAAUUCCAGCUGGCUGAGGCUCACCAUCAGUCAGCUGAUUGGCAGUGCCAGCCUGCCACUCUUGCCAGUGCACAACCAGGAGGGUGCUUCAAGGCUCUUGUUCGGAGUAUUGGCAGCCACUUCUUCAAUCUCACAUGCUUUAAGUGAAAUGGCUUUCUGAUUCACAUUGGAACCUGUUCUGGGCCAAACCUAGCCUGUGGGCCAGAGGGUCCCGUCCCCCCCGAGCUGCACAGUAGAGCCACAAAUCACAUGUGAUUUACUUGCACGACUGCAGCUUUGUGCGGGUGGCAGGUGAACAAGCAAAGAAAUGAAUAGAGUACAGUUGGAAGGGGAGACCUGGAAAGGCCCACAUGGAUCCAGGAAGUGGUAGUGGGGCCCCUACUGGUUUGUGGGCCUUGGCAUUAUCCCAGUGAUGCAAGCCCUUGUCCUGGCACUUCUCCUACACCAGCAGCAUGAAACAAAAAUAUCUAUGAUGCCUUAAUCUCCUAUGCCAGGUGUCAGCAAACCUUUUCAGCAGGGGUCCAGUCCACUGUCCCUCAGACCUUGUGAGGGGCUGGACUAUAUUUUGAAAAAAAAUAAUGAACAAAUUCCUAUGCCCCACAAAUAACUCAGAGGUGCAUUUUGAAUAAAAGCACACAUUCUACUCAUGUAAAAACACGUUGAUUCCCGAACUGUCCGCUGGGCCAGAUUUAGAAGGCGAUUGGGCCGGAUCUGGCCCCCAGGCCUUAGUUUGCCUUCCCACGUCCUAUGCAAACAGAGCGAACCCAAACGUGGGAUAAGGACUCGGCCGUGCUGUUUUGCCAUUGACAUCUGUUCAUGCUGCUCCUUGCACAGCUUCCCUCGUGCCAGUGAGCAGGGCAAAGGCUGCAUCUGCUUUUUUAUGAAUUAAUCAAAAACAAUAGUGUUGGCUCAAGCAUUUGCUUUAAAGAGGAUUUUGCAAGCGUACGCGUUAGUGUGAUUUCUUAUCGUGGCUUCUCUUUGUGUGUGCGCCUGCCAAUGGGAGCCCCUCCAGCUCCCAGCCACAUCCUGAGGAGACGGGCUGAGUGCUCUUUUAAUCUCCAAAUAAAACAAACAGGAACAAAGAAGACAAUAAUAUUGACUUUCAUCAUUGAUAUUCCCAUUUAUCUCGGCAAUAAUUAGUAAUUCUAGCACCGGAAAGGCAUUGCUCAUAAUCUCAUUGUUUCCAAGGGAGCUUGUGUUAAUGUCAUUGCAGACAAUGCUGGCAUGGAAAGCUUUCCAUGAGCUGAGCCACUGGAAGGAAUGGGACCUCUUGCGAGGAAAGGAUCACUGUAUCCAUGGGGGAGAACAAGUUUUGCAUGUAAAAGGUCCCACGUUCAGUCCCUGGAAUCUUCAGGUGGAGCAGGAAGGAAUUCCACCGGAAACCCUGGAGAGCCCCUGUGAGUCGAUGUCAGCCAUGUCUCUUGCAGAAGAAGAAGAGAGUCCUCCGAAACCCUCAAAUUGGUUGGAAGACUCGUAGCAAGUGAAUCCGCCCCCCAGCCCCCAAUCACACCAUUAAACUUGGGUACCUUCCCAGUCUAUGCAAGAUAGUUUUCCGGCACACAAAGUGCCAGGCAUUAUCAAUUCCACAGGAACCGCUCUCACGGCAGCCGCAGGGACCAGCAGAGAAGCAAAUGCAAAUUCGGGGCAGUGUUUUUAUUAGGAUUUAAAUGAGUUUAGGGCUGUUUAGAAUUACAAUACGAUCUGAGUCAGGAGAGGCUUAUAAAAUCAGCACCAGUUCAUAUAUUAUACAAUAAACGUGCCAAAACCCAUGACUCCGAGCUCAGUGCAUUUCUGUUGAGAGAAGGGGGAGGGGUGAAUUUGGAGAUGCAAAAAUGCAAAUGCCGAAUUCAAAACCAAGCAGGGGGAAAAAAGGUGUGGGGGAAGGAGGGGCGGCUGUUUAUUCGUUUCCCCUGGGACUGAGAAAGGAACUGUUGAGUGAAACUAAUAUUGAGAGACCAAUACUAGAGGCUUUAAACAAUCUCCUCUCUAGAGCACUGGCAGAUCCCUGUACAAAUGGCUUGAAGAAACACGCCGCCCUGCUGCACCUGCUGCGCCCUCAGCUCCGUCCGCGCUCACAACCCUUUGCUUCCCCUCCCCUCCCCCUUGUUUCCUUGGCAGAGUUUUGACCUGUGCAUCUCUCUGAUGGGGAGGCGAAUGUGUGAGCUCCACAAGAGCUCCAAGCUGGAAUGAGGAGGUCAUUCAGGGGCCCAGCCCGGCCCCUGAAUGACUCCGGCCAGGGGGGAAGCAGCAGUCUACUAUACCCCCCCCCCAAAAAAAAACCCUAGUCUGCUCGGCAGCCUCCUUGCUAGUCUGCUGCUUAGGGGUAGAGCGGAGGAGGCUUCCCUGUCACCAGGGCUGAAAGAGUUUAGUUUAGGUCACACAGUGAGUUUUGUCACUGAGUAGGGAUUUGUCUCCGAGGUGAGGACAGAUAAAAGAAAGGACUCUUUCAUGCAGCAGAUAGCUGAACAGCCCGUGUAGGUUGGUGGCCUUCACUGCCUCCUGUGGCAGGGAGUUCCAUAGUUUAACUCUGUGCUGCAUGAAGGACUUUCUUUUAUCCAUCCUGAAUCUUCCAAUAUUCAGCAUCAUCAGGUGCCCAUGGGUCCUAGUGUUAUGAGAGAGAGAGAGAGAGAGAGAGAGAGACUGAGACUUUGUUCUAUCCACUUUCUGCACACCAUGAAUCAUUUUAUAAACUUAGAAUCAUAGACUUCUAUAAUAGGAAGGUUUGAAAGGACUCCAAGGGUCAUCUAGUCCAACCACCCGCAAUGCAGAAAUCUCAACUAAAACACCCAUGACAGACGGCCACCCAACCUCUGCUUAAAAACCUCCAACUUCUAUCAUGUUGCCUUUUCCCUAAACCGAAAAGUCCCCAAAGGUUUCAGCCUUUCCUCAUAGGGGAUGGUUUGGUGUCCCUUUUCUGAACCUUUUCCAAAUUCUACAAUAUCCUUUUUGAAGUGAGGCACCCAGAACUGUACACUAUAUUCCAAGUGUGAUGACACCAUCAAUUUCUUUAACGCUGUGAUGAUACUGGCAGUCAGUUCCCAGGGUUGCCUCACAGCCUCUCCUGAGUCCCUGACCUGCUGCCGCAAAUGUGGUAGUGAGGACGCUGCCCUUUUCAAUACUGGGGCUGAAGGUGGCUUCUGACAGGGGUGGGGGGAGUCCCAGCUUGUCCUUCUCCUCCUCCAGUGGCAAAAUGUCUUGAGUUGUGUUGCAGGAUUCCUACCUGGGCACCACAGAAGCAUCACUAAUUAGAUCUGAGUUUCCCAGCUUUGAGCACAAUCUCUUGGUGUGAUUUGGGCAGGCUGGUUGAGACAUUCAAAGCCACCAAGAGGAUUGAGACAUGCUGUCGCUCUCCAUUUCAGCAGGGACUGCAUGCCCACAUCAUUUCCCCCCAGUCCCUCGGAGGCUUUGAAAAUCACAAGCACUUAACUGAAACCAGAUGAAGUCCACCUGCGGAUAGACAAUAAUAACAGCCCCCACCCAGGGAUGAGGCAUUGAUUAGAGAAGGCUUAUGGGGGAGCAGGCAAGAUUUGCUGGGAGAAGGGAAGAUGCACAUCAAACACACAACAAAGCCACAUCAAAGAGUCCCGAGAGCCAGCAGCCAAUGAAAAGCUUUUAACUCAAAGCCCCAGAGCAAAGAAAAAUAUACGCAAGGGGAUCAUUUACAUGCUUUGCCAGGCUUUCAUAGCAAAUGGUGUCAAUUUGAAAUGGGGGGGGGGGCUUUACCCAACACCUUAUUGCAGCCACUUAGGAGUUCAGGGGUAAAUCGAGAAAGUGUUGUGCAUUUUGGCAUUCUUUAGUGUUGUUUACUGCUUCCCUUGGGACACGGGUGGCGCUGUGGGUUAAACCACAGAGCCUAGGACUUGCCGAUCAGAAGGUCGGCGGUUUGAAUCCCCGCAACGGGGUGAGCUCCCAUUGUUCGGUCCCUGCUCCUGCCAACCUAGCAGUUCGAAAGCACAUCAAAAUGCAAGUAGAUAAAUAGGUACCGCUCCGGCGGGAAGGUAAACGGUGUUUCUGUGCGCUGCUCUGGUUUGCCAGAAGUGGCUUAGUCAUGCUAGCCACAUGACCCGGAAGCUGUACGCCGGCCAGUAAAGCGAUAUGAGCGCUGCAACCCUAGAGUCGGUCACAACUGGACCUAAUGGUCAGGGGUCCCUUUACCUUUUACUGCUUCCCUUGCUGUCUGCAGAAGGGUUUCUGGACACCGUUGCCAAGAUCACACCAUUGCAUAGUGUGGCAGCUACAUCUGAAGUCCUGCUUGGAGUAUAGAGUUCCUCAACUCAGGCAUCGGGUGUGGAAUUUUUAACCAUGGCCCUACUGAAACCCAGAGCUAGAGCAGGAGUUCUCCAGGCAUUGACAAAAAAAUUCAAGUUCAGGCUGUGGGUUGAUUCUCAGACUCUGGCCACCCACAAGCGCAGGCAUGAGAUGUGGAUUCUCCAGCCAUGGCUGUACAGAAAUUCAGACCUGGAGAGCAAGUUUUCCAACCUACCAUACUUGAUGUCAAAGAGUCAUUCUGCCGCUGAGUUUAAAGCUUGAUGAUCAAAUGUUUGGCAGAAGGGAGGCUUAAAACUGGGGUCUGUUCAGUGGUGACAGGGUGGGGAGGGUGAUAUGCCUGGCAGCUGGCAGAGCUGCCAUUUAUUUUUUACAGCAAAUCUGUAUGGUAGAUCCACAGGAAGGGGGAGUGUUCUCACGCUCAGGUCCUCCUUGUGGGUUUCCUACAUGCACCUGGUUGUUCACUUUGAGAAGACGACUAGAUGGGUCCUUAUGUUCCUAUGUUCUUGAGGAGAAAUGGGAAAUCCUUUCCCACCUUGUUAGGUUAAGGUAAGCAGCAACACACACACACACAAAAUCAGAGACAUUUCUUCUUCUCUCCACCCUCCAACCACCCAUGGAUAUUCAGAAGGGCAUUUGUUUCAAACCCAGCCAGUGAGUGGUCAAAAAGAAACUGUGGUUUGUGGGACCACCUGCUUAAAUGCUAGCUGAAUAGAUUUUAGCACAAACCCACCCAGCAGCAAGAGCAGGGGGAAUACCAGAACUUAGUGACUCUAAGCUUAUCCAUGGUCAGUUCUGCAUUCAAGACCCAUAUCAAGAAGAAGAAGGUACAAAUAAUAAUGGAGGGGUGGUCUCUUGUGGGGGUAGGGGUGGGGCAGGAAUUAGCUGCUAAUACACCAAAUGACUUCUCUUCGUCUCCUGUCAGCUGCCUAACAGAGCGGCAGGGCCCAGGAGCUGGAGGAUUGCAGAGCAAAUUCACAUUCCUAAUGAAGGAGCUUUGAUCUGUAUCUGUGGCUCUGAUUGGCUGUAAUGGGCCCCUGGAUAGCAUGGAGACAGCAGGAGGUACUUCAGUCCCUAUUCAUGUGUCAGGAGAAAAGGAGUGGGGAGUGACUGGAGGUUGUUUUUUUUGGGGGGGGGGUUAAAAUCCAGAAUAAAAAGGCUAACGCACAGCAAGAGGAUGACUAAGGACAAUGCCAGUUCAAACUGGCUUUUUAGUCACCAUUUUCCUCUGAAAUGUGCUGUACUAUUUACCAAAACUUACAAGAAAAAUGAAAUAAAAAUAAUAAUGACAGUUUUGCUUGAGGGGGGAGCAUUCAAUGGAAUCAUAAAAGUUGGAAGGGACCCCAUGGUUCACCUAGUCCAGCCCCCUGCAAUGCAGUAAUCAUUUUGCUAUUUGGGGCCCAAUUCUCCAACCUGUUAAGAUAAUUUUGAUGAGCUGCACCCAAGAGUACUAAAGGAACUUGCUAAUGUAAUCUCAGAGCCUCUGUUUAUAAUCUUUGAGAAUUCAUAGAGAACAGGUGAAGUCCCAGAGGACUGGAGGUGGGCAAAUGUUGUCCUCAUCUUCAAAAAGAAGACCCAGGUAACUUACCAACUGGUGAGCUUGAUGUCAAUACUAGGGAAGGUCCUAGAACAGAUCAUUCAGCAGUCAGAAAAGGAUGCUGAGAGUACCAAGAAUGGGUUUCUUAAAAACAAGUCAUGCCAAACAAAUCUAUUUUCUUUCUUUUUUAUAAAACAAGCUUGGUAGAUAUGGGGAAUGCUGUGGAUGCAGUGUAUCUUGAUUUUAGUAAGGAGUUUGACAAAUUCCCUUUUGAUGUUCUUGCAAGGAGGCUGGUAAAAUGUGGGCUGAAUGAGGUAAAUGUUAGGUGGAUUUGUAGCUGAUUGACUGACCAGUCUCAAAGAGUUGUCACAAAUGGUUCCUUGUUAUUCUGGAAAAAUGUGACAAGUGGGGUGCCACAUGGUUUUGUCCUGGGCCUGUUGUUCUUCCACACUAGGAUGAAGGAACUGAAGGGAUGCUCAUCAGAUAUGCAGAUGACACCAAACUGGGAGGGGUAGCUAAUGCCGCAGAAGAAAGAAUCAUAAUUCAAAAUGACAACAGAUUGGAGAACUGGGCACAAGCUAACAAAAUGAAUUUCAGUAGGGGAAAAUGAAGGCUUCUGCACUUAGAUGGGAAUAGCCAGAUGCACAAAUAUAGGAUGGGGAACACCUGGCUUACAAGCAGUAUAUGUGAAAAUGAUCUAGGGGUCUUGGUGGACCACAAGCUUAACAUGAAUCAACAUUGUGAUGCAGCAGCAAAAAAGCUAUCACUAUUCUAGCUUGCAUCCACAGUAGCGUCCAGAUCAAGAGAAGUAAUAUUCCCACUCUAUUCUGCCUUGGUCAGACCACACCUGGACUAUAUGUCCACUUCUGGGUACCAGCAUCCAAAUUACACUGAAAAUCAUGGGAAUCAUUGUGUUCAGUUUGGUGACAAUAUCUUGUGAGGUAUUUGAAUGUAUAGUGAACAGAUAGACAAACAGGUGGACAAACCAACCAACUAUUUCUCCAGUUAUAUAUUAGAUUCUUUCAUUAUUUGUGCUCAUGAUGGUAUUGGGGUAGUUCUAUGUGAUCCCACGUUCAACACUCUUUGCACUGGCAGACAUUUUUAGCAGUCAUACCACUUUGUUUCCAGUCAAUGAAGGCCCACUGUUUCCUGCUGAAAUCCUUUAACUCUUCAUACCACAAAUAUUUUGAGUCCAUUAGUUUGUUGUCUAGCUUUCGUUGUUCAGUAGCAGGAGCCUGCAUCUUGGUCUGUUAAAAAUGCAUCACAGAACAAUAGUAAAUUGGAAUGAUAUGUAGACAGUCCAGAAUAAUUGUGUCAAUUACAUGUUGCAGAACAGACCUACCAGAAAGCACCAGUCUAGAAACACACACACCUACAUAAACUCAUCAAGGGCAACCAAAAUAUGAAAGGGAAUGGUGGAAAUUGUUGUGAUCCAUUGAUCAGCUUUAGAAGCCAUUACAGGACAUUACAGGGUGAACAGCUGCAGAAGACAGGAUUAAUUCAGCGAUGUAUAAUGAUGAUUUGACAGUGAUGUGAAAAAGGGUAUGUGUUAUAAAUGUGUUAUAAAUACCCACUCACUCGCUGGAUCAUCACCUUGUCGUGGUGAGAGGGCUUGCAUGUUACUAUGACCCUCGCGAGUGAAGCCGUCGGGAAUCUCGUACUCCCAGCAGGGUCACCCAAGGCAGUAAGGUCAAAGGGAAGGAGCUAGACAAAGAAUGAUCCAAGAAUUCCUCAAUGGCGGAAUAGGCAGAGGAUAACAAGCGGUAUGUUACAACGGCUGUGAAGGCGGAUGAAGGCUGCAGCAGAUAGGAUCUACCGGUUCGUCAUGACUACUCAUGCCAUUGGAACAGAGCCCUACUGCGAAGACUUUGCGUUGAUCAGCGUGCACUGAUCUACACACAUAAAACAAUUUCAUGCACAGGCAUCUUCCAAAAACCCAACCCAAACUCCAAAAGUCCCAUGGCGAUCGGCAAAUGGUAACGGGGGCAGGACCGUGAAAUCUGGAAGCCCCUCCACAUCGUGAUCAACUCCCGCCAGGGAACCAAUGUCCCCACUGCGGAAGGACGUGUGGAUCCAGAAUUGGACUCCACGGUCACUUACGGACUCAUUGUUAAAAUCUGUGUUUAUGGAAGACAAUCUUACUUGGCUACAAGUGCUCAUCAAAGAAGAAAAGAAGAAGAAUAAAUACUCAACCAUGUCCCCAAUUUCAGUUGCAAUCCUUUGCACAAUUUAUCAAGGGUGGAAACUUCAUUGUUUAGAGUGGCCUUUAUUCUUUCCGAGAAAACACACAUAGGACCACAGCCUCAAUCUGUGAAAAUUUGGAGGGCAUACAGUGAAACGGGAGAGAUCUGAUUUCAGCUUAACAUUAUCUACCCUUUUUUCUUAACCAGGAUCCAUUUGGUCCAGCAAAUGAGGCAGAUAUUGAUGAGAAUGAUUAGAUUUCUGUUCCACCCUUUCUCUAAAGGAGCCCAGGGUGGCCAUACAAUAACACAAUUAAAAACAUUAUCAUUUUUGAAAACACAACAUAACCAUGCACAGUGGUUAUAAGCUGGCAAAGCCCAUCAGAUUUCACCCCCAAGUUCCUGGGUGAACAGAAACAGUAUCAGGUUCCUAGAAUCAUAGAAUAGAAUCAUAGAAUCAUAGAGUUGGAAGAGACCACAAGGGCCAUCGAGUCCAACCCCCUGCCAAGCAGGAAACACCAUCAGAGCACUCCUGACAUAUGGUUGUCAAGCCUCUGCUUAAAGACCUCCAAAGAAGGAGACUCCACCACACUCCUUGGCAGCAAAUUCCACUGUCAAACAGCUCUUACUGUCAGGAAGUUCUUCCUAAUGUUUAGGUGGAAUCUUCUUUCUUGUAGUUUGGAUCCAUUGCUCCGUGUCCGCUUCUCUGGAGCAGCAGAAAACAACCUUUCUCCCUCCUCUAUGUGACAUCCUUUUAUAUAUUUGAACAUGGCUAUCAUAUCACCCCUUAACCUCCUCUUCUCCAGGCUAAACAUGCCCAGCUCUCUUAGCCGUUCCUCAUAAGGCAUCGUUUCCAGGCCUUUGACCAUUUUGGUUGCCCUCCUCUGGACACGUUCCAGUUUGUCAGUGUCCUUCUUGAACUGUGGUGCCCAGAACUGGACACAGUACUCCAGGUGAGGUCUGACCAGAGCAGAAUACAGUGGCACUAUUACUUCCCUUGAUCUAGAUGCUAUACUCCUAUUGAUGCAGCCCAGAAUUGCAUUGGCUUUUUGAGCUGCCGCGUCACACUGUUGGCUCAUGUCAAGUUUGUGGUCAACCAAGACUCCUAGAUCCUUUUCACAUGUACUGCUCUCAAGCCAGGUGUCACCCAUCUUGUAUUUGUGCCUCUCAUUUUUUUUGCCCAAGUGCAAUACUUUACAUUUCUCCCUGUUAAAAUUCAUCUUGUUUGUUUUGGCCCAGUUCUCUAAUCUGUCAAGGUCAUUUUGAAGUGUGAUCCUGUCCUCUGGGGUGUUAG